AAAGUGCGAAAUGUAAUGCGAUUUGCAUGAAUCUGUGAGUCAUCAAGUCUUUGAACGCAACUUGCACUCUUGGCGAAAGUCAAGAGUAUACCUGUUUGAGAAUUGUAUCCUCCUUACUCACGCGUUUGCGUGUGUAAAAGUGAUUGUUACGUUUGUGACAAUUUAAAUGGAGCAGAGGGUGCGGCUUCCUGCUGCCUCACUUGGUGUGAUAGAGACCCCUGGGUCUACUCAUCAAGCGCAGUGUACGGGCUGCCGACCAGCACUCUCUCUAAACUCAUAUUCUCAAUCUCAAAUCAGGUAAGGCUACCCGCUGAACUUAA
rnacentral:misc_RNA from 1 species